GAAAGGUUCUCCAAAGAAGAUUGCUGAGCUGUGCAGCUGGGGUGUGCCACAGUUCCCUGGAGAUUCCUGCACUAUGGAGCGUUGGAGUCGCAAUAGCUGAAACAACAGAGAGGCCACCACCAGACACAGACUGCCAGGCAAGGCUGAGUACAAACUAUAUCCUGUGGGCUGACAGGCUUCCUGGAGUCUCACCACCAUCACAGAGGCGAGGACAUUGAUUGAUGAAGCUGUGCUCUUGAGGGAAGCAGGAGAAAAUACCAGAAAGCAGAGGACAGAAAAAACUGAAUAUACAGUCAGAACAAGAAUGGGAAAGGCGGCUCUGAAAGAGAGAGUGAGCCUCUGGGUGGAGUGCUGGCUGAGUCAGGGGCUUGGAAAUGUGAGCAAAGACAUUCUCUGGUUUUGUUUCAGCAGUGUGCAGGGAAACAGGACUUUGGAUGUUUUUUAUAAAUAAACAGGACUGCAUCAAAGAAA